GAUGAACGCUGGCGGCGUGCCUAAUACAUGCAAGUCGAGCGAACGGACGAGAAGCUUGCUUCUCUGAUGUUAGCGGCGGACGGGUGAGUAACACGUGGAUAACCUACCUAUAAGACUGGGAUAACUUCGGGAAACCGGAGCUAAUACCGGAUAAUAUUUUGAACGGCAUGGUUCAAAAGUGAAAGACGGUCUUGCUGUCACUGAUAGAUGGAUCAGCGCUGCAUUAGCUAGUUGGUAAGGUAACGGCUUACCAAGGCAACGAUGCAUAGCUGACCUGAGAGGGUGAUCGGCCACACUGGAACUGAGACACGGCCCAGACUCCUACGGGAGGCAGCAGUAGGGAAUCUUCCGCAAUGGGCGAAAGCCUGACGGAGCAACGCCGCGUGAGUGAUGAAGGUCUUCGGAUCGUAAAACGCUGUUAUUAGGGAAGAACAUAUGUGGAAGUAACUGUGCACAUCUUGACGGUACCUAAUCAGAAAGCCACGGCUAACUACGUG
rnacentral:rRNA from 1 species